CCGGACGGUUAUAUCCCCAAUGAUUGCAUCCCAAACUUGUCGGAUCCGUCGUGUCGGAUCUAGGUCCGAGAAUCAGUAGGAAACUGUAUAAAUACCCCUAGGGGUGAAGUGUAAAGGGGGGAGAUACAUUUUAUACUUGAGAGAUUGUUGUAUAUAUUAUACUAAUACGAUCACUAAUGUUUCUAUAUGGGAUGCUAAUGAUUUUAUGUCUUCUAGCAGAUCUUCUUUUUCAAAUAUAAGACAUUUCUCCUUACCUUUAUAUCCUAGAAUCAUUUCAUC
rnacentral:lncRNA from 1 species